CCAUCUAUUAGGAAACAGUGGUAACAGCCCACCCUCCUUACCCUGGGGUAACACUGACACACCGACCAGACGGUCCCCAUAACCACCAUUAUCACUCCCGCAGUGCAGAACGUGGCGAACACCUGUGGCUUCUCUACAGAAAUCAUGAACAGACCCAACGCCACAAACGCCAUCCCCAGAAUGAUGAGCCCAUAACGGUAUGGCUUGUUCUCUGCCAUGGAGGAAACUUAGAAGUCCAGUGGUGGUAUGUUUAGUUAACAGAGGAAAGUACCGGUGAGAGGGUGGAGCUUUAUGAAUGUGUCCCCAUAGAGGUGGAGGCUGGAGUGAGUGACAGGACGCAGGGUCAGUGGAGAACCGAGAUUUGGACCAUUGAACCUGUAAUGGGCCUUAGUAAGGUGACCUUCCCCCAGGUAAAGGUUGCAUUGGCUUGAGCAAUCUUACUAUUUUCAUUUCCAGGAAUGCUGGCAUCUUAAUGAUAUAGUAGAAGAGAAAUACAGAACAAGAACACACAAAAACUUUUGGAUUGAUAAUAUUUUUGGUUAACAAAUACAAAUUAACAAUACAGUUUUUGUAUUAUAUGGUGUAUUUGUAUUUGUAUUUUUAUGCAUGUUAUAGUAAUAUACUAACAAUGUGUAACUGACAAAACAUAACUGAAAACACACUUAUGCAGCAUUAUGUGAUAUAUUAUUAAAAAGACACACAAGGAAAAAAAGACAGAAUUGUUAAAGUGACAGUGGAAGUGACAUUCAAGAGAGAGGUAAAAAAAAUCUCAAUAUCAUAUCUUAUAACAAUGUACAGUAGGUCAAACAUUAAUAUAGAAAAAUAAGAUAAUAUGCAUUAAGAAAUGUCUAAAUUAUUCUCAAAAACAUGUUCUGGUCAUUAGGAAAAAUUAGUAAAAAUCAAGGCACAAUUCAAUAUUUGGUUCAGCUUGAUAAUAAAGAGGUACUCAGUGGCAUUACAAUCAUAACCUAGCAUCUUAACCUUCAUGUUCUGUUCAGUUUGACUUCAUGUUUGGGUUUCCACCAAGCCCAGUAAUAAACAAAACCAUUCAAGUUUUGGGUGAGUGAUUUAUUUAUUUAUUUAUUUUUAAAGAAAGUAAUUAUUUUAUUCAGCAGGGACUUUAAAUUGAUAAAAGCAGUAAAGACAUUUACCUUUUUUUACUGCUGGUUUCCACAAAAAUAUUAAGCAGCUCGGCUGUUUUCAACAUUGAUAAUAAUAAGAAAUGUUUCUUGCGCAUCAAAUCAGCAUAUUAAAAUAAUCUCUUAAGGACCAUGUGAUACUGAAGACUGGAGUAAUGAUGCUGAAAAUUCAGCUUUACCAUUGCAGCAAUUAAUUACUUUUUAAAAUUUGUAAUAGUAUUUCAAAAUAUUGCUGUCUUAACUGUUUUUGAAAUUUAAAACACCCAAAACUGGAAUGGUGGUGUAUGUGUAAUAUUAAAUAACAAUAGUUUUUAAACUAAUCUCUUAUUUUGCCUUCAAAUUAAUGUAUGUUCAUUCCCUUUAUUUGACCUAUUCAAAACCCAUAUUGACACUUUUCCCUUGUUUUUUGAAUGCAUAUUUCAUUACUGUGGCUGGUAUCUAUUUUAGUAAUUGGUUUCUGUUUUUGACCCCAGUAAAAACACUGUAGAGAAAUACUAUAAAACAAAUGAAAGUAAACAACUUAACAACAAUCAACCUUCAAUGCUAAAUAGUUUUUGAACUAGAACUCAGACCUCAAGUAGAUGAUGAUGAUUAAAUAAGCUUUAAGUUUUCAAUUUCACUAUCCACAAACACUGAUAUGAAAAAAGUGAGAAACGAGAUUAUAGGAUGGUUCACAGAAUUAGCCUACAAAUCGUUGUGCAUAUAUACGAACUAAGAAAGACUUUAAAACUGUUUAUGCCACUCAGUGGACUUAAAUUAUCGGCUAUUAUAUAUAUAUAUAUAUAUAUAUAUAU
ensembl:lncRNA